CCUACGGGUGGCUGCAGUGAGGAAUAUUGGUCAAUGGGCGCGAGCCUGAACCAGCCAAGUAGCGUGAAGGAUGACUGCCCUACGGGUUGUAAACUUCUUUUAUAAAGGAGUAAAGUGAGGCACGGGUGCCUUUUUGUAUGUACUGUAUGAUUAAGGAUCGGCUAACUCCGUGCCAGCAGCCGCGGUAAUACGGAGGAUCCGAGCGUUAUCCGGUUUUAUUGGGUUUAAAGGGAGCGUAGAUGGGUUGUUAAGUCAGGUGGGAAAGUUUGCGGCUCAACCGUAAGAUUGCAAUUGAUACUGGCAGCCUUGAGUACAGUAGAGGUAGGCGGAAUUCGUGGUGUAGCGGUGAAAUGCUUAGAUAUCACGAAGAACUCCGAUUGCGAAGGCAGCUUACUAAGCUGCCACUGACAUUGAUGGUCGAAAGUGUGGGUAUCAAACAGGAUUAGAUACCCGAGUAGUC
rnacentral:rRNA from 1 species